GGGGAUGUAAAGGCUUCGACGGGGACUGUGAAGUAUGGAUAGCGGGUAGAGGAGCAUGCGCCUCUAUAAAAGUAUGACGUUUUUCAAAUUAAACGACAACGAUAAUUUGGCUUUUGCGGCUUAAUUAAGCCGCCGUUCAACCAGGGAGGACCACGGCCCUGGAUUGGGCGUCGAUGAGUGGUGAACGGGUUGGCCCAGCAGCCUCGUAAGCCAUCCUGUAUCAGAGGAUACCAACUGAUGAAGCCUGCCUUUCGGCGUCAACAUGAGGGAAUUUAAAAAGAAUGGCUGCACCCGGAGAAAUCUGUAUGGAGUGGUUUUCGGACACGGGUUCAAUUCCCGUCAUCUCCACCA
rnacentral:tmRNA from 1 species